UGCCUACACCUGAACAACCAAAACACUAUCUCAUUACUUCAGAAGAUUUUAACGAUCUAAUUAGAGAUUUAAAUUUGCCAAAAAAUAAAGCAGAGCUUCUAGGCUCUCGGUUAAAACAGUGGAAUUUGCUUGAUGAUGUUAAGAUCACGGAUCAGCGGACUAGGCAUGAAAUGUUUGCAACGUUUUUCACGAAGGAAGAUGGACUUUGUUUUUGUAAUGACAUUAAAGGAAAUAAUAAAGCUGAAAACUACGAAAAGUUGGUUGAGGAUAUGCUUACAAAUUUUAAGGCCAUGGGUUGAAGGAUGUCAUUAAAAGUACAUAUGCUGCAUGCUCAUUUGGAUAAAUUUAAAAACAAUAUGGGAGCCUAUUCCGAAGAGCAACGAGAACGUUUCCAUCAGGACAUCAUGAAUUUUGAACAACGCUAUCAAGGCCAAUACAA